rnacentral:rRNA from 1 species
CCUACGGGAGGCAGCAGUGAGGAAUAUUGGUCAAUGGCCGAGAGGCUGAACCAGCCAAGUCGCGUGAGGGAGGACGGCCCUACGGGUUGUAAACCUCUUUUGCCGGGGAGCAACGUGCGUCACGUGUGGCGCCACUGAUAGUACCCGGAGACAAAGCAUCGGCUAACUCCGUGCCAGCGGCCGCGGUAAUACGGAGGAUGCGAGCGUUAUCCGGAUUUAUUGGGUUUAAAGGGUGCGUCGGCGUUUCGUUAAGUCAGUGGGAAAGUUUGGGGGCUCAACCCCUUCCCGCCAUUGAAACUGGCGCUCUUGAGUGGAAGAGAAGUAUGCGGAAUGCGUGGUGUAGCGGUGAAAUGCAUAGAUAUCACGCAGAACCCCGAUUGCGAAGGCAGCAUGCCGGCUUCCGACUGACGCUGAAGCACGAAAGCGUGGGGAUCGAACAGGAUUAGAUACCCGGGUAGUC